GGAGAGGUGUCCGAGCGGUUGAAGGAGGCGGUCUUGAAAACCGUUGAACCGAGAGGUUCCGUGGGUUCGAAUCCCACCUUCUCCG
rnacentral:tRNA from 1 species